CAUCCAAACCGUCCUCAAAAACCUUCUCCAGGCACAGGUCGGUGCGCCGGCUCCCAGGACAGAGGCUACGUUGUCUUGUGGAAAAGCCCUGAGUGCUCGGCAUGAAAGGAACCGCUCGGGGUCUCUGUAUAACCGAGGCCAUUAUCAGGGGAUGGGGAAUCGACACUGGCUGUUGGAACACUGAGGGUAUUUCUUCCUAUUAGAGGUCGUGGAUAUAACGAACCUUAUCUAAUCCAUGAUCAAAAGAGGGCUGUGAAAGUUCUCUAUGGCUCGGCCAAUCACUGGUCUCAUGAGUAUCAGGUUUCCCUUUCAUCAAAUCACAGAGCUGGAAAAUCCACUCGGGCCUCUCGGGCUGGCCAAUGACACAGAGGCUGCUGCCAAGCUGGCCAAUGGGACAGAGGCAAUUUUUUUCCAGCCAACCAGUCAGAAGAGAAACAGUCAAACUGAAGACUAUGGCAAGACCAGCAUAUCGCCAUUCUGUCCUUAAUAAUCAACUCUAAUAUGUAGGCUACAUAUUGUUUUAGAAAUUCAUUUGUGAGUUAAAGGGACAAUCUGCAGUUGAAACAAUUACAAAGUGGACACCCCGCCUCUGUUUUGGUGAAAAGCUGAGGGAAGGGCAUGGAGAAAUGUAACCACUCUAAAAAUGCAUAGAUAGCGCAAUGGAUGCAAGGACUGACCACCCAAGAUAUCAAAAUAGUUUUAAGCAUGUUUUGUAGCUAAAUAUGUGUAUAGCAAUACAAUUUGAUUUGUUUGUUUACAUUUGCAAUGUUUACAAACAUUGGAGUAAAACAAGCUUAUAUUUUGGUUCUGAUGGGGUACGACAGUUGAACGAAGCUUAUGAUGCAUUUAUAAGUUCUAUUCUUCAAGAAUCAAUGGGCAAUGGGUAUUCACACACCCCUUGACAUUUUAAACAUUUUGUUGUGCCUUCAGAAAGUAUUCAUACCCCUUGACUUUUUACACAUUUUGUUGUGUUACAAAGUGGGAUUCAAAUUCAAAAUUAAUUGUAAUUUCUUUGUCAACGACCUACACAAAAUACUGUAACAUUUGUUUAAAAAAUGCAUGGAAAAUAAAACACAAAUUUAUCUUGAUUAGCUAAGUAUUCAACCCCCUGAGUCAAUACAUGUCAGCAUCACCUUUGACAGCUGUGUGCAAUAAUAAUAACAUGAUGCAGCCACCACCAUGCUUGAAAAUAUGAAGAGCGGUACUCAGUGAUGUGUUGUGUUGGAUUUUCCCCAAACAUACAGUAAUGCCUUGUAUUCAGGACAUAAAGUAACACUUCUUUGCCACAUAUUUUCGCAGUAUUACUUUAGUGCCUUAUUGCAAACAGGAUGCAUGUUUUGGAAUAUUUUUAUCAUGUACAGGCUUCCUUAUUUUCACUGUCCUUUAGCAUUUAGGUUAGUAUUGUGGAGUAACUACAAUGUUGUUGAUCCAUUUCUCCUAUCACAGCCAUUAAACUCUGUAACUGUUUUAAAGUCACCAUUGGCCUCAUGGUGAAAUCCUUGAGCGGUUUCUUUCCUCUCCGGCAACUGAGUUAGGAAUGACGCCUGAAUCUUUGUAGUGACUGGGUGUAUUGAUACACCAUCUAAAGUGUAAUUCAUAACUGCCCAAUGUUCAAAGGGAUAUUCAAUGUCUGCUUAUUUUUUUUACCCAUCUACCAAUAAGUUCCCAUCUUUGCAAACCAUUGGAAAACCUCCCUAGCCUUUGUGGUUGAAUCUGUGCUUAACAUUCACUGCUCGACUAAGGGGCCUUACAGAUCAUUGUAUGUGUGGGGUACAGAGGUGAGGUAGUCAUUUAAAAGUCAUGGUAAACACUAUUAUUGCACACAGAGUGAUGCAACUUAUUGUGUGACUUGUUAAGCAAAGUUUAACUUCUGAACUAACUUACGCUUGCCAUAACAAAAGGUUUGAAUACUUAUCGACUCAAGACAUUUCAGCUUUUCCUUUUUAAUUAAUUUGUAAACAUUUCUAAAAACAUAAUUCCACUUUGAGAUGAUGGUGUAUUGUGCAUACAUCAGUGACAAAAAAAUCUCUAUUUAAUCCAUUUUAAAUUCAGGGUGUGUGAAUACUUUCUGAAGGCACUGUAUCAUUCAUUUAUAAAUCCACAAAUGGAUGUACAGGUGUGGGAUCUCAAUUUGAGCCAGUUUGCUACAGCAUGAAAAUAAACCUGCAGCAACAGGAAAUGUGAAUUAUGUGGAUUAGAAUUAACAUACAUUUUUGUUGAGUUUGAUAGAUUUUUCUUAGGGCAAAUCAAGUCUAAUGGAAAUGACUAACUUUAGAAGCCGUUUUAACGAAUAUGACAAACUCUGUGAAGUCGCUAUUGUGAAAAUGUACCACAAGAUGGUGCUAUAUCCCUAACAAUCACUUGAAGAGUACCUACCGGUAGCCUCAAUCAAUACCAUUUACACUGAACAGAAAUAUAAAUGCAACACGUAAAGUCCUGGUCCCAUGUUUCAUGAGCUGAAAUUAAAAAUCUCCAAUUUAAAAAAAAUCCAUAUGCACAAUUAAGCUUAUUUCUCUCAAAUGUUGCGCACAAAUCUGUUUACAUCCCUGUUAGUGAGCAUUUCUCCUUUGCCAAGAUCAUCCAUCCACCUAACAGGUGUGGCAUAUCAAGAAGCUGAUUAAACAGCAUGCUCAUUACACAGGUGCACCUUGUGCUGGGGACAAUAAAAGGCCACUUUAAAAUGUGCCGUUUUGUCACACAAACACAAUGCCACAGAUGCAGAUGCAUCCAUUGCAGUUUCCACUUUAAACAAAUCAAUCGUUAUUUACUUUGUGUUAUACAGCCACCGAAAACUGAGAAAUGGUCUUUCGGGGCUCUGAAAGUAUAUCAUACUCAAUAAAAGAUGGUAUUUUGCGGUUGAUGCUUAAUGAUGUAAUUGGCACUGUAGUGGCUGUUUCAUGCUCUUCUAUGGGUGGGCCUUGUUUCAUUGGAGGAUCAGAUGGGUUGAUGUCAAAACUAGUUUAUUAAGACAAAUGUUAUAUUUUGAUUGGCCUAUAAUAGCUCAAUAAGUAUGGGAGACCAGGGAUGCUUGUAACACAGGAUAGUUGUAACAUUCAAUAUCUCCAAUCAGGAACAAGCUAGAAUCAUGUGACUCACUGUGCACAUGCUCAGUUUAGUCCUCAACACUCAUGAAGAA
ensembl:lncRNA